AGCAGCCGCGGUAAUUCCAGCUCCAAUAGCGUAUAUUAAAGUUGUUGCAGUUAAAAAGCUCGUAGUUGAAUUUCGGGAUUGGCGCAUCGGUCGUGCCUCGACGGGGUAUGAACUGGUGCAGUCUAAUUUCUCCUACCCUUUCGUGGGAACGAA
rnacentral:rRNA from 1 species